rnacentral:rRNA from 1 species
UACGAAGGGGGCUAGCGUUGCUCGGAUUGACUGGGCGUAAAGGGCGCAUAGGCGGUUUGCACAGUUGGGCGUGAAAUUCCUGGGCUUAACCUGGGGGCUGCGUUCAAUACGUGUAGGCUUGAGUUCGGAAGAGGGUCGUGGAAUUCCCAGUGUAGAGGUGAAAUUCGUAGAUAUUGGGAAGAACACCGGUGGCGAAGGCGACUUACUGGACACAUAUUGACGCUGAGGUGCGAAAGCGUGGGGAGCAAACAGG